rnacentral:rRNA from 1 species
UACGUAGGGGGCAAGCGUUGUCCGGAAUCACUGGGCGUAAAGCGCACGUAGGCGGCUUUUUAAGUCAGGGGUGAAAUCCUGGAGCUCAACUCCAGAACUGCCUUUGAUACUGAGAAGCUUGAGUCCGGGAGAGGUGAGUGGAACUGCGAGUGUAGAGGUGAAAUUCGUAGAUAUUCGCAAGAACACCAGUGGCGAAGGCGGCUCACUGGCCCGGUACUGACGCUGAGGUGCGAAAGCGUGGGGAGCAAACAGG